AGUGAACGCUGGCGGUAGGCCUAACACAUGCAAGUCGAACGGCAGCACAGGAGAGCUUGCUCUCUGGGUGGCGAGUGGCGGACGGGUGAGGAAUACAUCGGAAUCUACUCUGUCGUGGGGGAUAACGUAGGGAAACUUACGCUAAUACAUCAUACGACCUACGGGGGAAAGCAGGGGAUCUUCGGACCUUGGGCGAUUGAAUGAGCCGAUGUCGGAUUAGCUCGUUGGCGGGGUAAAGGCCCACCAAGGCGACGAUCCGUAGCUGGUCUGAGAGGAUGAUCAGCAACACUGGAACUGAGACACGGUACAGACUCCUACGGGAGGCAGCAGUGGGGAAUAUUGGACAAUGGGCGCAAGCCUGAUCCAGCCAUACCGCGUGGGUGAAGAAGGCCUUCGGGUUGUAAAGCCCUUUUGCUGGGAAAGAAAUCCAGCUGGCUAAUACCCGGUUGGGAUGACGGUACCCAAAGAAUAAGCACCGGCUAACUUCGUGCCAGCCGCCGCGGUAA
rnacentral:rRNA from 1 species